GCUGCGGCUUCGGGCUGACGACUAUUCGUCUGGCCAGCAGGGGGCAUCGCAGGCUCGUUCGCGGUGGCGGGCUUUUGCGUCCGAGGCUUGCCAGGGCCGGAAUUGGCAAUCGCUCGGUCUGCGUCCCGGUAAGACCCGGGUCUCCGGGUGUCCAGGGAGCGCGCACGGCGCCCGUUCGCUGUCCUCUGCGGCUGCGGCGGCUCGGAACCGGGUACCAGGGCAGGCGGGCAUGGCGGAGGGAGCAGAGGACCUAAUGCUGGAGCAGCCGUUUUCUUCUAAGCUGCUCCUGUAGCUGGUUUGCUCUGACUGGAGGGUAGAUGUAAAGGCUGCUUGUCAUCAGUCUAAACGUGUUUGGCAAGAACGCUUUGCAAAUGAUGAGCUGUUCGUUCUGCAUCCUGUCAGGAACAUGAAGUGCCAACUUCUUCAUGUUUCUACUUGGAGGCAGAAUUAAGAUUGUGUCCUCUGGAUGGACUUGCCUGAGUGUGACUCCUGCCAUAGUCGAUGCCACCAGGCACAUAUCCCAGCUACUCCGCAUCCUGUGCCGUCGGCAAAGUGGAGGCUCACUGAGCUAAUUAAUGAAGAAUGAUUUGCAUUGAACUAGACAAGCUGGGUCAAGCAUUUGAAGAUGCUUUUAAGAUGUUGAGGCAAGAGUCAACCGAUCUUCAGUAGUUCAACAGAACACAAGCUUACCUGUCUUCCAUUACCUACAUAGAAACUUGUCUGUAACUGAGGAAAUAUAAUAAACAGUGCUGCAGACUUACAUCUGGAAGGAAAUCUUCACCAGUCUCCGCAGAACAAAACUGAAAAAUCUGUUGGUACAACCUACCCUUUGCAGCAGAAGAGAGAAACAGGCAGGAGGAGGCUGCAGCUGACUAGCUACUUCUGUGAAUCCCUGUGCUAUCUCAAGUCUUAUACUCAAUGGAUUGACAAUACCAUGGGCAUCUUGCAGAUUAUAUCAAAAAACAAAGAAAAAUUUGCUCUACUUUGGGGAAAAAGAAAAGGCAACCGGAGGACCACGAUUUAUCAGAAGACAGCCAAAGUGCUGAGGCCUUACUAGAGACAAGGGAGAUACCAAUAUCCAGACAAAGCUC